GAUGAUUAAGAGCAUCAAUAACGCGGUCUUCUAAGGCCGUCUCUUAGUGUUAAUGUCAUUAAAAAAAAAGAAAAUUAGGUUAAAUGCAAAGAAACGUUUCUUAUUUAGGGACUACAAGAGACGUAUUCUGAGACAGGUGUUGCCCUCUGGACUUUCAUCUCUUUGAGAAGAAAGAGAGAAUUGAAGCGAUCACAUCCAUGGCGGAAGAGAAGCCGGAGCUUCAGGCUGAUUAACGAGACCGGCUAGCACCUUUUCACCGAUUAAGUUCCCUCGAUCUCUCGAGCUACGAUCGGUCUGAUUUGAUCCGUCAUUGUUGAAUCAAUGGGUAAUUGUUGCGGAUCGGCGGGAUCGUUAGCCAAGAACGAUAGCAAUAAGCCUACAAAAGGAAGGAAGAAGCAAAACCCUUUCUCCAUCGACUACGGUCUCCACCACGGCAAUAACGGAGGAGGAAAGAUAAAAUCUCUCAAGCUUAUCGUGCUAACGGAUCCAACAGGACGCAAGAUCUCGCAGAAAUACAAGCUGUAGAUAUAGAGGAUGUUAGGAGAGAAGUCGAGAUCAUGAGGCAUAUGCCUGAGCAUCCCAACGUUGUUACUUUGAAGGAGACUUAUGAGGAUGAGCAUGCUGUGCAUUUGGUUAUGGAGCUUUGUGAAGGUGUUGAGUUGUUUGAUAGGAUUGUGGCGAGAGGGCAUUACACUGAGAGAGCUGCUGCUGUUGUCACUAAGACCAUCAUGGCAGUUGUUCAGAAAGAUGAUUGAUAAACAGCUUGAAGUGAAGAAGGAAGUAGUAGUUGAUGUGAAGCAAUAUUCAGGUGUUGAGCUAAUUAUCAAGUCUGGUUUUGGUUCUACUCUGCCUUCAAAAGAUGAUUUGAUUAGAACAUAUGAAAAAUUUGGACCUGUUUUCGAUUGUUCUUAAUGCUAUGCUACACUAGGAUUAGGCCACUUAAUCUCUAUGCUGCAGUCAGAAAAUGGAAAUUGUGGGUUCAUGCCAUGUAUAUACAGAGUUUGGGUGAUGUCCGCAUUUGAUGAUUCUGAUUUGAUUUGUGUUUUAAUUGAUAAAGACAGUUGCUUGCUCUUCUAUGAAUCUGUCUGUAGUUGUCUUAUUUACUAUGCUACACUAGGGCUAGGCUACUAAAUCUCUAUGAUGCACUCACAAAAUGAAAACCGUGGGUUUUUGCCAUGAAUAUUGAGAUUUUGGUGGUGUUUGCCCUAAUUUCAUUUGUAUUAAGUAGUCAUUUUGCAUGUGAUGCAUAAUAGACUUUUUCUUAGAGGAUGUAUUUAUAAUAGUUGUUUGCUCUUCUCUGCAUAUGUUUUUAAUUGUUUUUGUUGUUGUUGUGUGUGUUCCAACUUGGGAGGAUUUUCCCUUACUUCAACAAGCCUCUCCACUCUCUGGCUUUCAGAUCUUCAUUCUCUCUCGAAGAUGGUAAUUGAAUUUCACUUUUUUCCCUCAUCCACAAUUUGGGAAGAUGAAUCCUAUAUCUGAACCGUCAAAUGUUAUGUUCUGUAUUUGGGAAGAUAAAUCCUAUAUCUGAACUUUUUUCCUCAAGCUACGCAAACCUUGAGCUGCUUGAUUUGAGUGGAUAUUUUUAAGAACCAUAAUUAAGAGA